GCGAAUGCGUUGAAGGGAAACAGUAAUUCAAUCGUUUUUUUCAGAGAGCCGGUGGCUGCUGCGAACCGGUAAAGGCGAUGAAUGAAUCCAUCCCCAAGCUGCAGAGGCGUUACAACCACUGCCGGAUUCCUGCCGUUAACAGGACCUGAGGUGUGUGCAUAUUUUAUGCAUAAACCAGGGUGGUAUCGCGGGUUACUCCCGUCCCUGAA
rnacentral:ncRNA from 1 species